AAUUAUUAAAGCUUUUAGAAUUUUUCUAGCAGAUUUUCUGACUUUGGUCAGAAAACCCAA
ensembl:snRNA LOC120100210 U7 small nuclear RNA